GAAAUACGAUAAGUAAUGUGAAUUCAGUGAAUCAUCGAAUCUUUAAACGCACAUUGCGCCCGCUAGUUAUUCUGGCGGGCAUACCUGUCCAAGCAUCAUUUCAACCAUCAAGCCCCCAGGCUUGUAUUAGGGACUCUGCAAGCUCUUCGCUCGCAGACCCUAAAAACCAGUAGCAGGCUUGUAAGACACACCGAGCGUAGUAGCAUAAUUCUCACUUAGGGCGUGCUGCGGGUUCCGGCCGUAAAACCGACUCUUCGAGAGAGGAGACACCCAAGGUUGACCUCGGAUCAGGUAGGAAUACCCGCUGAACUUAA
rnacentral:misc_RNA from 1 species